UACGUAGGGUGCAAGCGUUAAUCGGAAUUACUGGGCGUAAAGCGUGCGCAGGCGGUUGUGUAAGACAGAUGUGAAAUGCCCGGGCUUAACCUGGGAACUGCAUUUGUGACUGCACGGCUAGAAUCUGGCAGAGGGGGGUAGAAUUCCACGUGUAGCAGUGAAAUGCGUAGAGAUGUGGAGGAAUACCGAUGGCGAAGGCAGCCCCCUGGGCCAAGAUUGACGCUCAUGCACGAAAGCGUGGGGAGCAAACAGG
rnacentral:rRNA from 1 species